AGCCAAGUGAAUCUGAGCAAUGAUGUCAUAAUAAUCAUCAAUAGCAACAGUGGCUGGGCGUGAACAUGGAUAUUUCCAAGCUGGAACCGAGGCACUUUCUAGACGAAGGCAGCCUUAUCCCCAGGAGUCUAGGUCAUUCCAGGUCAACCAGGGGCCUCUCCCAGAGUGAGAACCACUGGUGACUCCCCAGAGUGGGACCAAGUGAAAGCACUUGGCUGGAGCAGAGGGAUACGAGCCUGGCUGCUCCUAAAACAAGACACUACUUGCCUUUGAUGUUCAAGUCAUUUAAGAACGCAAUUGCUUCCUACUCAAUUUUUCAAAACCAAAAUAACAAAUACGAUAUGAGCCAUAACUUAGCAAAAUUACGUGUUUUAAACAGUCUCUUUCAAAAAACAAUAGAUUAAAAAGUGCAAUGUUUUUACCCCCUCUUAAAUUGGAAUCAUGGUAUAGCAGGCAGGAUACAAACUUCUCAUUUCCAUUACAUAUUUUCAGUGCCAUCAUUAAUCUGAAUGAUAUCAACAAAAUGCCCAAUGCACAUAAAUCAGUCAGACUUUGAAUCAUUCCUGCAGCCUCUGAACAUUUGUGAAGAAACUCCAUCUCCAAGAUCCUGCUAUAUCAACUUCAGUUUUUUGAAGUUAAAUUUGAUUUUUAAAUCCCUUGGCUGAUAAGACCUGU
rnacentral:lncRNA from 1 species